GUGAACGCUGGCGGUAGGCCUAACACAUGCCAGUCGAACGGCAGCACAGUAAGAGCUUGCUCUUACGGGUGGCGAGUGGCGGACGGGUGAGGAAUACACCGGAAUCUACUUUUUCGUGGGGGAUAACGUAGGGAAACUUACGCUAAUACCGCAUACGACCUACGGGUGAAAGCAGGGGAUCUUCGGACCUUGCGCGAUUGAAUGAGCCGAUGUCGGAUUAGCUAGUUGGCGGGGUAAAGGCCCACCAAGGCGACGAUCCGUAGCUGGUCUGAGAGGAUGAUCAGCCACACUGGAACUGAGACACGGUCCAGACUCCUACGGGAGGCAGCAGUGGGGAAUAUUGGACAAUGGGCGCAAGCCUGAUCCAGCCAUACCGCGUGGGUGAAGAAGGCCUUCGGGUUGUAAAGCCCUUUUGUUGGGAAAGAAAAGCAGCAGGUUAAUACCCCGCUGUUCUGACGGUACCCAAAGAAUAAGCACCGGCUAACUUCGUG
rnacentral:rRNA from 1 species